AUACAUGCAAGUCGAGCGGAUUGAUGGGAGCUUGCUCCCUGCAAAUCAGCGGCGGACGGGUGAGUAACACGUGGGUAACCUGCCUGGUAAGACUGGGAUAACUCCGGGAAACCGGGGCUAAUACCGGAUAGUUCUUUUCCUCGCAUGAGGAAAAGUGGAAAGGCGGCUUCGGCUGCCACUUACAGAUGGACCCGCGGCGCAUUAGCUAGUUGGUGAGGUAACGGCUCACCAAGGCAACGAUGCGUAGCCGACCUGAGAGGGUGAUCGGCCACACUGGGACUGAGACACGGCCCAGACUCCUACGGGAGGCAGCAGUAGGGAAUCUUCCGCAAUGGACGAAAGUCUGACGGAGCAACGCCGCGUGAGUGAUGAAGGUUUUCGGAUCGUAAAGCUCUGUUGUUAGGGAAGAACAAGUGCCGUUCGAAUAGGGCGGCACCUUGACGGUACCUAACCAGAAAGCCACGGCUAACUACGUGCCAGCACCCGCGGUAAUACGUAGGUGGCAAGCGUUGUCCAGAAUUAUUGGGCGUAAAGCGCGCGCAGGCGGUCUCUUAAGUCUGAUGUGAAAGCCCACGGCUCACCCGUGGAGGGUCAUUGGAAACUGGGGGGACUUGAGUACAGAAGAGAAAGU
rnacentral:rRNA from 1 species